rnacentral:rRNA from 1 species
AUGUGGCAUGGAGAGAGAAGCACAAGCACAGGUAACAUCACAGUUCCACAAUUUGGUCUCUGCUGCAAGGAAGGGAAAGUUAAAUUACCACCACUGAAACAAGCUCCGCUGUAUCUCCGACAGCUACUACGUUACAAUGAAAGAGGAGAAUCAUCAAAUUUCCGCAAGAACAUCAGGUUGUACAACUCGAUGUUCGCAUUCACUUCAAUGGGAGGAAAGGUUGACUAUGAAAUUAAUAAGCAGGCAUCUGGACCGUAUGUUUUCCGUUUGAAUGGCCAGAAUUACCAUCAUAUUGGCACUUUACUUCCUAAAGAUGACGUGACGAAGCCAAAAUUUGCCCAAUUGUACAUACAUGACAUAGAAAAUGAAGUGCAGAAUAGGAUUAAUGCAUCUGCUUCAACGGAGAGUAAGACACAACCAGAUGAAAACAUUGUCAAAGGACUACUGGAGAUGCUUGAUGAGCACAAUGUUUUACUCAAAUCAUUUCAUAUGGCAAGGGACAGAUUCCAAAACUGA